rnacentral:tRNA from 1 species
GGGGCUGUAGCUCAAUUGGUAGAGCACCGCCUUUGCAAGGCGGGGGUCAGGGGUUCGAUUCCCCUCAGCUCCACCC